rnacentral:lncRNA from 1 species
AUAUAUAUUUAAAAUAUAAUAUAAAUAUAAGGAUAGAUAGAUAGAAAUACUUAUCGAGAUAAAUGGGGGUGCUCUCUCCCAAGCUGAAUUUUGACGUAAUUUCUCAUGAUGUAGCUAGCAGGCGGCAGAGGUGUUUUUGAAAGUCAGCAGCAUUCUGACAGCGACUAGAAUGUUCUCCAUCUGCUAGUCUUCUUGAUUCUUAAAUUCUGUGGAGCUCAAAUAGACAACAAAGCUUGUGGAACUUGAUUAAGUGUUAGCAUAAAUAUCUAGCCUUUAUCAUGUUGAGACUCCUUAAUAAUUAUUACUCCCUGUUUUUAUAUUUUCGUUUUAUUAAAGCAGAAAAGAAAUUUUUAUUUUAUUUUUAUGCCACCACAGUGAAUGUACUUAUGGUUUUAUGCCACUCGUAUACUCACAUGGGGCUUACUGUUUUUCACAUUUUAUUUUCUUUUUAGGAUAGUACGAACAUAAUUAACUAAGUAAACUAUUCGAAAUAAUUGAAAGGGAAAGGAUAACUACCAAGUUUACCUCUUGGCAAGGCGUUCGGUGUUUUUAUGUCCUCCGAAUGGGACUCUCCUCUUUCUCAAUUGUCCUGGGGUUCGUUGGGUGGCGUAGUCGGUACUUCCAGCGGCGCCUCCUCUUCAUGUAUAGUUAUCUUCUCUUUCCAUACCUGACUCGGUGCUUCAGUCUCCUCUGGAUAAUUCUGUUUAAACUCUACAUCUUCUGACCUUACAACUUCUCCUUCAUAGUCUGCCCAUCCGUCCUUGAUGAUUUGCCUCCUCUGGUUGCGGUUGCGUCGUUUUCUUACCUGCUUAGAUUCUUCAACGAUAUAGUUAGGGUCAGCAAAAUAACGGCGUACCUUCUCUGAGGGGAUGUGCAUAUGGACUUCUCUGGUUCCAAUGUAGAUAAUUGCUUUAACGGUGCUGAGAACGGUCUUCCAAGGAUGAUGGGUGGAUCGUACUCAUCUUCUCCCUUGUCAAUAACCUGAAAGUCUGUGUAGACAAAAUGAUCGUCUAUUUUGACUGGGACAUCAGUUACUGUGCCUUUAACUUCUCAAAACAUCUGAUCUGCCAUCUGGAGCUGAAUGUAUGUUGGUUUUAGGAGCAUGGUUUCGAACAAGUGCCGAUAGGUGACUGCGGCCAUUAUGUUGACGCCUGAUCCGGUGUCGCAAGUCGUCUUGUAGAAGUUGUAUCCAUUUAUGGAGCAGUAGAUGCUUGGCAUUCCUAGGUCAUCCUUCUUGGUCAAAAACGGUGACUUGAGUUGGUGAUCUUGGCCUCCAUGAACUACAGUGACCAUCUUAGCUGAUUCGGUCCACACUUGCUUGUUCCUGUUCCUCCUGUUGGUCCGCUUCCUUGAUUCACGUCUGGAUUGAUCUAGAAUUUGUGUAGUCUUGUUCUUGAAGAAAAACGUCUCCUUCCUCCCUUUGAUGUAGAAACUGAUCUUGGCAGCACUAGCGUAGAUGAUAGCUCCCGUGGUGUUCAAGAAUGGCCUCCCUAAGAUGAUGGGUGCUCUCUCAUCAUUACCGGUCUCUACCACUACGAAGUCUGCUGGGGCAUACAAGGUACCAACUCGGACGCAAAGGUUCUUCACUAUUC